CGAAUUAUAUACGAUUAAAUUUUUAUUUUUGGAACUUAAAAAUUAAAACGAUUGAGAUUUUAUUCCAAAUAACCACAGCUUUACGUUUAUUUUUUGCAGCAACAGUAGGGACAUCAAAGCUUCGAGUAAGUGGAUCAUGAAUGGUAGAAUUAAUGGUAGGAUGGGGUGUAUCGUGGGGCUACAAUGUUGAUGAUACAGUUGUCAUCUGAGGAGGGAAAUUGGUAAGGACAUAAGAUGGGAAUGGCAAAGGUAGUAUUUGUUUGUAGCCUGGAAAAUCGGGGAGAGUUCACAGCCGCUCAUCCCAUUCGCCGCCCGACCCCAUAAAAUAGGGUAGUAUUUGUUUGCAUCGCUACCUAGCCUGGAAUCGAAAUCAAAGGACCAGUACAUGUCUAAGAGGUCGUAGUUGAGAGAUUUGGGGAGUUCUGAUACGUAGACUUUGAUCGAAUUCGAUGGAAUAAGAUGGUUUUGAGAUAUCAGAGGUGAUGAUGAUGAUGAUGAUGGGUAAUCGAUGUGGUGAGAUGAACCGUUGAGGAAGAAAAGGAAAAGAGAGAGAGAGAGAGUGAAGAGAAGGAAGAUUGAUGUUAGAGAAGUGGAAGCAGUGGUGGAUGUGAAGAAGCCAUUUUUGGGGGCCAUUGAUAGGUAAAGUUUUGGUUUUUGUUUUUGUUCUUUGGUUAUGGAGUCUGUCAACUUAGAUAAGAUGAAUUUGCAGUUUCUUUUUUUUUCCCUUCUUUGAGAUAAGUUGAAUUUGCAGUGUGAACAUAUAAAUAUAUGAGCAUAUUUGUAUGUAAAAUUGAUGUUUGACAGAAAGUCAACGACUUAUUUUGAUAAAUAAUCUAUGCAGCUUUAAUUUUAGGGUGAGAUGUAGCAAAGAUUAAAAUGUAAUUUAUAUUGUACUAAUGCCUAAUGCAUCUGGUUUGUAAGUUGUAACUGUAUUUUUGCUCUAAUUGUCUAUUAACAUCACUUUUAUUUUUCUAUGGAGAAGAGAAAAAGGAUUAACCAAGUUCAGUUAUUCGGUCUCAUAUUGUACUAUACACAUCGAUUUAAAGCCUAACUAAUUAAUUAGUAUUAGCUGUGCACUUUGUAUUUGGCGAACUAAUUACAAGUAUUCAAUGAACAUUUAGCUUCAUAUGCCCUAACUCCCAAUCUUAAAAAUUGAUAUACAUAUCUUAUCCAUUUUUCUCUAUUGUAAUUAAAUUCAAACCAGACCUUAUAUCAAAUACGUCAUAACUCAGAUGGAAAAUAAACGUGAAAACAAAAGGAUGGCUGAGGGUACUAUCCAAGGAAUAUCCAACUCUUGCUUUUCAUGCUAGCGUCAACAAGUCAUUUGGCAAGGCUUCUCUUCUCUCAGUUUUAAGACAAUUUCCUCGCUUGAAGAGUGACAGGCAAGCAAUUUCUGUGGGAUUUGUGGGAUAUCCCAAUGUUGGGAAGUCAUCAGUUAUCAACACAUUGCGAACAAAAACUCAAACGAAACAUUUGAAAAGCUUGCCAGCAUUGGACUCCAUGCAAAUAUGAUAAAUUACCUAAGGAAUGAGUACCACUUGCAUGUGGCCACCAGAGCGAACAAAAAAUGAUAUGAAAUGUGGGGAGCCAUGUCCAAUUUUACACCCAUCAUAGGGGCUUUUCUUUAUGAUUCUCAUUUGGGUCGUUUUCGAGUGAUUGCUUUAG